GGGWGAAGUCGUAACAAGGUAGCCGUAGGGGAACCUGCGGCUGGAUCACCUCCUUAAUCGAAGAUCCCGGCUUCUUCAUAAGCUCCCACACGAAUUGCUUGAUUCACUGGUUAGACGAUUGGGUCUGUAGCUCAGUUGGUUAGAGCGCACCCCUGAUAAGGGUGAGGUCGGCAGUUCGAAUCUGCCCAGACCCACCAAUUGUUGGUGUGCUGCGUGAUCCGAUACGGGGCCAUAGCUCAGCUGGGAGAGCGCCUGCUUUGCACGCAGGAGGUCAGGAGUUCGAUCCUCCUUGGNUCCACCAUCCAAACAAUCGUCGAAAGCUCAGAAAUGAAUGUUCGUGAAUGAACAUUGGAUUUUCUGGUCUUUGCACCAGAACUGUUCUUUAAAAAAU
rnacentral:misc_RNA from 1 species